rnacentral:rRNA from 1 species
UACGUAGGGUGCGAGCGUUGUCCGGAAUUAUUGGGCGUAAAGAGCUUGUAGGCGGUUUGUCGCGUCUGCUGUGAAAAUCCGGGGCUCAACCCCGGACUUGCAGUGGGUACGGGCAGACUAGAGUGUGGUAGGGGAGACUGGAAUUCCUGGUGUAGCGGUGAAAUGCGCAGAUAUCAGGAGGAAUACCGAUGGCGAAGGCAGGUCUCUGGGCCACUACUGACGCUGAGAAGCGAAAGCAUGGGGAGCGAACAGGAUUAGAUA